rnacentral:rRNA from 1 species
UACGGAGGGGGCAAGCGUUGUUCGGAAUUACUGGGCGUAAAGGGCGCGUAGGCGGCCUGUUGCGUCAGGUGUGAAAGCCCCGGGCUCAACCUGGGAUGUGCACUUGAUACGGGCGGGCUGGAAUCCGGGAGAGGAUGGUGGAAUUCCCAGUGUAGAGGUGAAAUUCGUAGAUAUUGGGAGGAACACCGGUGGCGAAGGCGGCAUCCUGGACCAACACUGACGCUGAUGAGCGAAAGCCAGGGGAGCAAACGGG